AGAGUGAACGCUGGCGGCAGGCCUAACACAUGCAAGUCGAACGGCAGCACAGAGGAGCUUGCUCCUUGGGUGGCGAGUGGCGGACGGGUGAGGAAUACGUCGGAAUCUGCCUAUUUGUGGGGGAUAACGUAGGGAAACUUACGCUAAUACCGCAUACGACCUACGGGUGAAAGCGGAGGACCUUCGGGCUUCGCGCAGAUAGAUGAGCCGACGUCGGAUUAGCUAGUUGGCGGGGUAAAGGCCCACCAAGGCGACGAUCCGUAGCUGGUCUGAGAGGAUGAUCAGCCACACUGGAACUGAGACACGGUCCAGACUCCUACGGGAGCAGCAGUGGGAAUAUUGGACAAUGGGCGCAAGCCUGAUCCAGCCAUGCCGCGUGUGUGAAGAAGGCCUUCGGUUGUAAAGCACUUUUUGAACGGUAAGAAAAGUCUUUACGGUUAAUACCCGGUAAGUUCUGACGGUACCGUAAGAAUAAGCAACCGGCUAACUUCG
rnacentral:rRNA from 1 species